rnacentral:lncRNA from 1 species
ACAAGACAAGACCAAAGAUGUGACUGUAAGAAAGAUCCUUGUAAAGAAGAAUAUUUGAGGGGAUUGUAAGGGAAAUGAGAGAGGAGGGAUGUAGGGGAAAUCACAGAAAUACAUUAUACAUGUGUCUUAGUUAGAGUUUUACUGCUGUGAACAGACACCAUGACCAGGGCUACCCUUAAAAGGUCAGCAUUUUAUUGGGGUUGGCUUAUAGGUGCAUAGGUUAUCUGUUAUCAUCAAGGCAGAAACAUGUCACCAUCCAGGCAGGCAUGAUUCAGGAAGAGCUGAGAGUUCUAAAUCUUCAUCUGAAAGCUGCUAGCAGAAUACUGGCUUUCAGGAAGGUAUAUUGAGGGUCUUAAAGCCCACAUUCACAGUGACUCACCUAUUCCAACAAGGCCACACCUCUAAAUAGUGUCAAUGCUUGGGCCAAGCAUAUACGAACCAUCACAUUCCACUCCCUGUCUUUUAUAGGCUCAUUCAAACCUAUGUGUAGGGCCAUGCCUACACAUAGCAUGAUAAAAAUAUGCAUUUAGUCAAACUUCCAAAGCACACAAAGUCUAAACUAUGUUGUAUCAACAAUGUUAAAAGUCCAGUGAUAAAGAUCUCUUCUGAAACGCACUCAGUCACUUAACUGUAAUCCCCAAAGCAAGACAGGAAACCAUCUGUACAAAUCCAAACUCUGCAUUUUCAUGUCUGAAGUCAAAGCUAUCAUAUUCAGAUCUCCAACUCCAUUUUCAUCUUUGUUGACAACAAUACACUUCUUUCUCCUGGGCAGGUUCUUCUUGCUGUUAGCAGCUGUCUUCAGCAGGUAUCCCAUGGCCUUGACAUCUUUAAUAUUUUUGGGUCUCCAAGGCACCUUCAACCUCACAGCUUCAUGCUCCAGUGUCUUAGAUCUACACAUGAUUUUCUGGGAACCUCCAAAGGGCUGGCAUCAGUUUUUUGUUUCUCUGCCCUGUAGCACUCUAAGCUCAGGUUGAUCCACUGCUACUGCCGUUCUUGGUAUUCAUCCCAUGGUACUGGUAUCUCCAAUACACUGGGGUCUUCUGCUACACCAUGCAUUCACCAAAUUUCCUCUCUUCAUGGUGCCAAGCCUCAACCCUUUUUCUUUUUCUUUAUUUCUUUUUUUUUGAGACAAGUUUUCGCUGUAUAGGACUAGCUGUCCUGAAUCUCAGUCUGUAGACCAGGCUGACCUCGAACUCAGAAACCUGUCUGCCUCUGCCUCCUGAGUGCUGGGUUUAAAGUUGUGCACUACCAUGCCAGGCUUUUUUUUUUUUCUUUUUUUUUUUUUUUUUGCCUCAACUCUUUUUAAUGACCCCUUCAGUCCUGGGCCAUUAACUGCAACUGAGGCUGUACUUUUUACCAAUGGCCUUCCAUGGUCUCUCACAGUGACAAGCCUCAGCUGUUCGUCAUGAUGUCUUCAUGCCUUCAAAACCAAUAUCACCUUGGCGACUCUUUCACCUUACCAUGUACAGCUGUAGGACAAGGUACUAUCUUGGCUAUCUCUGGAACAGAGUAUCUUUUUGCUCUUACCAAACACUUCCCAGAAGCUUUCACCUCAGUGAUACCAGUCUCUUCUUAAUCACCACUAAGUUCUUAGCUCCAGCUAACCAGCAUCAAUUGUCUCAGUAGUUCUUUCUGUUCUUGACUCUAUAGACUGAGCCACGUGGCCAAAGCUGUUGAGUUUUGCUGCUUAUGUGGGCUGGACAUGGCCCCUUUUUCUAUUACAUUAUCACCAGCUUUCUGUUUUCCAACUCUGUCCCUGAGUAAGUUUGGAUUUCCUACAAUUUACAGAGUAGAUUGACCUUGAACUCAGAGAUCUGCAUGGAUCUGUCUCCUGUAAUGCUGGCAUUAAAUGUGUGUACCACUAUGCUUGGAUUUAAGCAUUUCUUUCCCUAGAACCUGCUUUGUUCCAGAUUGGCCUUGAACCCAGAGAACUGUUUGGCUUGGUUUUCUGGGAUUAACGGUGUGUCCCACCAUGCCUGGAUGUAAAUUUAGCUGGAUGGAAUCUUACUCCAAUAUCUCUUAAUCUCUUAACAGUCUCCUAGAAUGUAGGAUUCAGUUCCAAUUUACUUCCUGGUGCAGCUUUAAUACUUGUAUCAUAUAUUUUAUAUUUUUCCUUUCUAAGUUUGCUAUGCUUGUUUAAAAUGCUCUUUGUGGUACUUAACCAGAGAACAAUGACUCUGCUGAGAUGUUUUUUGAGACUUUGUUUGUGAAACCAUUUAAUAUAAAUCUAAGGGUCAGGAGAUACCACACAUGAGAAGGUGAGGAAUAGAGAGCAUAGCCACCAUGUAGGAGACAGAGAAUAGUGGCCCUGAAAGGACUGUAUGACUGUGUAAAGGACAGCAAAGUUGGAAUAUAGAGUUUUGGUAAGCAAUAACUUAGGAAGAUCAAAGGGAGAUGGAUUGGCCAUAUAGGGGCCAGGAAGUGGCCCUGCCAUUGAGUUGUUUUAGGCAUAUAAAAUAUAACUGCUCUGUGUUUGUGUGUGUGUGUGUGUGUUUCAUUCAGGAAUGUAGAACACUGGGGCUGGUAGAUAGUAACUCAGAGCAGCUGCUGCCACUGUGGUCAAUUUGAGUAGUUUAAUUGGGAACGGCUAUAGUCCUUAACCUCUCCAACAUGUUUAAAAUUAGAAAAAAAUAAGACUGCAACUCAUCCUGGACCUGACAUACUUCUUACUGGGGUAAUGAGAAAUCAUCAACUCAUCACAACUACAAAAACAAAGAUCAAAUGAGUAUGUUAUUGUUACUAAUUAAGAGAUUGUUUUUUAUUUUUCGGUAUCCUGAUACUAAGGAAAUAGUUGCAGUUUUAGCUUCAUGCUCUCAAUGGUCAAACAUCAAUGUCCCUUGGAAUCUUAAAAAUGUAAGUUGAAAAAUUAUAAGAAUGUAAACAUAAGGCUUGGAAAUAAGGGGCAAGUCUUUAAUCUGACCACCUCUGGAGCAGAAGCGGGAGGAUCAUAGAGUUCAAAGUCAACCUGGUCUGUGUAGUAAUGAAUUCCAGGACAGCCUGGGCUACAUGGAGGAACCCUGUCUCAAUAAUAAAAAACAAAAACGAGGAGGAGGAGGAGGAAGAGAAGGCAAUGAUUGAGUUUUUUAAUAAAUAAAGUUUUAUCUAUGAAGUUUAGGAUGGCUGUAUGUUUCCAGAAUGGAAAGAGAAAUUAGAAAUUUUAUGAAAGUUGCAAGUGUCCAAGUAAGUUAUUAAAGAUAUGUAAAUGAUAAACCUUAGAGAUGAUAGACAGGAACCGGGCAUGGUGGCCCACGCCUUUAAUCCCAGCACUUGGAAGGCAGAGGCAGGUGGAUUUGUGAGUUCAAGGCAAGCCUGGUAUAAAGAGUUCCAGGACAGCCAGGGCUAUAUAAAGAAACCCUGUCUCAAAAAACCAGGAAAAAAAAAAAGAUGAUAGACAGGAUAUUUUAAUUUGUAAGCCAAGUACCAAUGAAUUUAUGUCAAGCCUCUACUUAAAUCAACAGAGUUCUCGUUAGCUUUGACCAAUCCUGGUAACAGUUAUAAACACUUGCUUCUAAAGCUUUAUGUGAGCUGUUUCAAUUAUCACAGAUACAAAACAAAGAUACAUGCAAACAAGAUAAUUAUUGUGUUUUAAACUUUGUUAUAUUAAACGACUCUAAAAACAAAACCUGACCCGUCCAGCAGGUCCAGUUAUUCGAGGGUCUGGAGGGGACCUUCUCCUAAUAACCAAAUGGGGGGGUAGAGAGAGAUGAGGAACCGUUCUGAUUUGCAUUGAAGCCCCAAAUGUAUUGAGAAAGGCCCAAGACUUAAAUGCACAAGCAAAAGGGGAAGUACAGACACUUAUCAGUGGGAGGGGUGAGGCAAUACAAGCAAAAGGAGAAGUACUUAUCAGUGGGAAGGGGGGCAAUAGAAAUUCUUUAUUUUGGCAGCUACACGGGGAAGCAGGAACUUGGUGGUAUCAGGGUGUGGUCAGGACUUCGGAGAGGACUUAGGACUGGAACAUCCCGUGGUUGUUCUCAGAAUCAAUGUGUCGGUGGCAAGCUUUUGACCCCCUUUUCUUCUCGGGGGGAGAGGCCCAAUUUAGAGAUCAAGAGUUGUCUUAAUAGCUCCCAACAAAAACCAACCCAACAUUCAUUUUAAAAUGUCUGAGCUUCAUCUGCAUGUUGCCCAGAGUUUAAGUGACAACACUGGGAAAGCUGCUAUGGUAUUUCUUUUUUGUUUGUUUGUUUUGGGUGUUUGUUUGUUUGGUUUGGUUUGGUUUUUGGUUUUUCGAGACAGGGUUUCUCUGUGUACCCCUGGCUGUCCUGGCACUCACUUUGUAGACCAGGCUGGCCUCGAACUCAGAAAUCUGCCAGUCUCUGCCUCCUGAGUGCUGGGAUUAAAGGUAUGCACCACCAUGUCCGGCUUGCUAUUGUAUUUCUAACAAACCUUGAAAACUACAGCAAAGAGGACAUAAUGUUCAGAGAAGACAUGUAGUGUUUUGUCUUCCUAGGUCAGUCAUGAUGAAGGACAAUGAAACCCUUCUGGUAAAUGGUCGCUUUUAGAGAGGCCAUGGAGAAUAAACUCUAAAUAUCCUAUACUUUACAGGAAUUCAACUGUGGAUCUGGCGCUAUGUAUGGGUGAUACAAUACAUAGUUUAUAAUUGUGUGGGGUUUGUGCUGGGUACCUUAUUGUCAACUUGACACAUAGUCACUUCAGACUUUGUAUAGGAGCAGACAGGAAUUCACUGUCUCCUGGCUGAAUGAAGUUCUUGUUUUCCUCUGGUCUCAGGUCUAUAAUUCACUGCUUCUGUUCUUGUACAUGAGUGUGUACAGAAUAAGCAAAAUGCUGACACCACGUUUAUCUCCUUGAAACAUCUGUGUCAUUAGGAAGCUGGGGUUUUCUUCUACAGGAGUAGCAAUAUUCUAUCCAUACUUUUCCCCUUUGUAGAGAGCAGCAUUAUAGAUUUAGAAAUGAACAACAUUGUUGUGUCUACAUAGUUGGAUCAUAGUGUUGCUCUGAGAACUUGCCAAGCUUAUUAAGACUAUUUCCAGUAUGCUUUUGAGUAGAUGUUGCAGCUAUCUCGAUUUUUAUUGUUUUUGAAAUAAACUAAAAUACAAGAUUCAAGACAAUUGAUGGAUUGGCAUAAUGUAUAACAAAAUUGUAAUCAUAUUGGGACUACUGUCAAUUAAAUAACAGGAAAUGCUUGAUAAUGUGUUUUAACUAUGUGUUUGUAAAUGGAAGCAACAGUAAAUAUCCUGAAUUAACUUUGACAUUACCUUUGAGUGUGUUGUCUUACAGAUGUGCUGGUGAAGAUUUCUUGGAGACCCAGGGUUUCCAUCUCUCAUCAUGGGGCUCCAUGUCUCAUCAUGGGGUUUGUGAGAGAAUCACCUGUCUUUAGCUUGUAUAAUGAUUAUCCUCUUAGCAAUUAAUUAUGUACAAUUGCUACCUCUUCAGAAAAGGAUUCAUUGUUAAAUUACCAUUUUUGAUGUUUUCAUAUUUAAAUUUCUGAUUUGUUUGAAAUAUCCUGACAAGAGAGAGAAACUAUCUUCUUUUUUCUCCUUCUUUAUUUUGUACUCUAAAUCCAGCAAAUAAACCUGCAACUGACAUGUACAAUGGUGGGAAUUGUCUAAAAUUAUUUAAAGAGUUGUGAUUCCACAGUAUCUUCUGAGCAUUUAUAUUCAUACUCACAGAAACUUUCUUGGUACCAAUGAGCAUGGGGGGAGGGAAUUAAAGGAGCUUGCAGCAGUGUUUAGAGACCUUGCCCUGUCUUUCUACUCUGCUCCAGAAGUCUGUGUCCUUGACUCUCUGUCACCUCAUGUCUAACACACAAUGGCAGGUAAGGUCAGCCAGGAGUUGCAGGGGACAGGAAACAAUGGUAGUGUCUUUGGAUAUGUCUUUUGAAAUGGCCUUUAGUUGUUUCUUUUUUGUUUUCUCCUUUCAAUUGUUCCUUCCUGUUUUAAUUAUGGUUUUACUGCUGUGAACAGAUGUCAUGACAAAGGCUACUCUCACAAGAACAACAUUUAAUUGGGGUUCGAUUACAAUUCACUGGUCCACUCCAUUAUCAUCAAUGCUGGUGCAUGGCAAAGCCCAGGAUGGCAGGGGGCCAGAGGAGCUGGGAGUUCUAUAUCUUGUUUCAAGGGCUGUCAGGAGAAGACUGGCGUCUAGGCAGCUAGGACAAGGAUCUUAAAGCACUGUCAUUCAUGGAACAGAAAAACUUCAUGUCAUCCUCAUAUAAUAAAGAGCUUCACCAAGGGAAGGCAGCAAGAAAUUAACAGCGGCCUUGAAAUACGUUUAUGAUGGAUUGAGACCCAAAAAGAAUAGAUUUGCGUUUGUAAAAAGGCUUUAGAAUUUAUUCUUUACGAGGCUAAAAUAUUGUCAAUACAAUAUGGUUACAUAAUUAAAAAUCAUAUCACACAGGUAUGUGCCCCAAGGGCCCUGACUCAGUUCUUGGCUCUUCUGGGACUCCCAGCUGUGUCUGAAUGACCAAGAGUCAGAACCUCACCCCCACCCUUCAGCCCAGGUCGGGGACAUAUCACAGCCCAGGAACCCCCAACCAGCUCUGACCUACCCCUCAUCAUGGACUGCAUUUCCCAUCCCUGAGCAGAGUCUUGGCUUUCCCUGAAGCCCAGCACCAAUCAUGCUGCAGAAAGGAGAAAAAACUGUCAUAUAUCCCCCGGUUUGGAGCCCAAAGAGGCUGAAACCAGCGGAAGUGAAUAAAUGAAUUGACAGAUUCACUGACCAAUCAGAGCCUCCAUACGCGCUUGCCAGUCAGAAUAGGAGGAGGGUUCUUUCUGAAAUCAUGUGGCAGGUUCCAUGCUACUGUGAGAGUUUAAGUGAAUUGGUGUGUUGUGCUUCGACCUCAACUGCUGAGUAGUAAGGGAAGCCUAAGCAAGCUCUGAAGGUGCAGCAUGGCCAGCAUAUGCUCACUGCCCACAAAGGUGAGGAGCGGGAGCCGUUGUGGUGGGUCCUACUCGGGGCUGGGCGGGAACCGGCAGGUUUAUGCAGCCGCGUGUGAGGUCUCUUAGUGUAAGCCAUUCCUGGACCCAGCAGUGGCAUCUGAAUAACUUCCCUCUCUGGGCUGAAUCUGCACAAAGCAUUUGAAGCAGGGCCUUGUGUAUAGAAACAUCCUUGACAGGAUGCCAGUGGCAGGCAGGCUUGGUUCCUCUAGUAGAGUCUACAAGCUCUUCUCUAACAUUUAACAUUUUGUUUGUGAUUCAUUUGGAGUUAUUUUUUUUUUCUAGGUUGUAAAAGGCAUCCCAAAUGUUGAGUGACUGAAAGCAGGUUCUUUCAAUAUGUCUCUGUU